UGGCUCAGAUUGAACGCUGGCGGCAGGCCUAACACAUGCAAGUCGGACGGUAGCACAGAGAGCUUGCUCUUGGGUGACGAGUGGCGGACGGGUGAGUAAUGUCUGGGGAUCUGCCCGAUAGAGGGGGAUAACCACUGGAAACGGUGGCUAAUACCGCAUAACGUCGCAAGACCAAAGAGGGGGACCUUCGGGCCUCUCACUAUCGGAUGAACCCAGAUGGGAUUAGCUAGUAGGCGGGGUAAUGGCCCACCUAGGCGACGAUCCCUAGCUGGUCUGAGAGGAUGACCAGCCACACUGGAACUGAGACACGGUCCAGACUCCUACGGGAGGCAGCAGUGGGGAAUAUUGCACAAUGGGCGCAAGCCUGAUGCAGCCAUGCCGCGUGUAUGAAGAAGGCCUUCGGGUUGUAAAGUACUUUCAGCGGGGAGGAAGGCGAUGUGGUUAAUAACCGCGUCGAUUGACGUUACCCGCAGAAGAAGCACCGGCUAACUCCGUGCCAGCAGCCGCGGUAAUACGGAGGGUGCAAGCGUUAAUCGGAAUUACUGGGCGUAAAGCGCACGCAGGCGGUCUGUUAAGUCAGAUGUGAAAUCCCCGGGCUUAACCUGGGAACUGCAUUUGAAACUGGCAGGCUUGAGUCUCGUAGAGGGGGGUAGAAUUCCAGGUGUAGCGGUGAAAUGCGUAGAGAUCUGGAGGA
rnacentral:rRNA from 1 species